rnacentral:lncRNA from 1 species
CCCGGGCCGCCUGCAGGGCGCGCCGCGUCCCGUCCGGUCCCGUCCCGUUCCGUCCCGUCGGGUCCCAGCCCCGCCAACUCUCACCCUGCCCGGCCCUUCCAGCGGAUCCACUUGCAGCCCCCGACCCCUGACUUGGUCCCCGAGGUCGGGGCUCGGUGGGAAGGAAAGCGAGGGGCUUCCCGGAAAGAAAGGGAGGAGGAGGCAGGAGGAGGCAGACGCCGAGAGAGGAGAAAAGGAGGCCAGAGGCAGAGGGAAAAGGAGGAGGGCAAGAGAAUCCUAGAGCGGGAAGAGCGUGGGCUCUGCGGGACGUGGGCGAGAGGUUACCAGGGAAAGAAUGGACAUUGACGGCAGAGAGCAAGUUUAGCCUGGAGAGGAGGAAUUGAGUGAGCAAAGGGGGUAGUCUGGGGUGCGAUGCACAGAAAGGCCCGUCCAGGGUAACCUUCACGUCUCCGUAUCCGUUGCUGUCGACUUUCCAGAGCCUUUGUUCCCAGUGACGUCCCUAUUGCAAUGGAGGGACACACUUCACUUUCCCCAGCCCCCCACCUCGAGAAUUUCUCUCACCCUCCCACCCUGCGGGGCCGCAGAGCUUGCUCCUCACGGCAGGAGUUGGAGCCCUGACGCUUGCCUUCACCUAGUUUUUGUUUGGUUUGGUUUGGCGUUGAUGGGACAAAGUCAGCCAAACUACUUUGCCAUCAGCAGAGAAGCAGGAGGAUCCUUGAGUAUACCUAGUCAACCAUAUGGCAGGAAGCAGAAAUCAUCUACUUCGUAGUUGAUUUUGUGAAUGAGAUGCUGCUUUAUCCAAUCUACUGACUUUGGAAAAUCCAGCUGAAAUGAGGAAAGAUAAUCGUGCAUGUCUGGCAACCAGGUAAUUUCUUUCCUAUCUUUCAUGUCACAGUAUUUUGAGGACACAAAUUCCUAAAUACUCAGAAAAAAAUGGUUUUAUCUUAAUUGAUUUAUAAAUUAUGUUAGGGUAGUUGUUAAACAGAAUUUUGUCAAAGAAGCAGUACACUGUAACACUUUCAGGCUCCCAUUGGUUUAAAAUUUGAUAAGUGUAUUUCUUUGCUGACAAGUCAAACUGUUCAAAUGUUAUGGAGGACUAAAAAGGCCUGGGAUUCACAGGCUCAUUUUUUGUUUUAACUGAAUCAUGAAAAUACACAACUUUUUUUUUUCCAGGAAAGACAGAUGUUAUUUACCACCAAUGAAUUUUUAUCAUAUUUAAAUGAACUUGAAAAUGUCAUUCAACUCAAAUCCCUCAAUCAACUUACUUCAGCCCAUUCUGAAACUUCAUAUUGCAGCAAACCAGCCAUGUGAAAGAAAUAAAUUCAAUUUUGACUUUCAAAAAAAAUAAAUGCUGCAUAAGUUACCCUUGUGGACCUUAGCUAUUAAGGUGGACAAUGACUUUAUUUUCUUUACGUAAGUUUUAUAUUUUAUUAUGACAUUCAUUUUUUCUACAUGAAGACACAAAUAAAAAUUAUACCAACUACAUAAACUAUUUU